GCUAGGGUGUGCAAGUGAUCACAAGCUAAAUAAUAAUGCUAAAUAAUAAUCUUAUAAUAAUAAAUUAUCUACUCUCUAGGAAUAGAGUGGUUUCGGAGGUUUCUUGCAUGUUGCCAUCUGUCUGUCCAAACUCCAGAGGCAACAUCCCUGGGAAGGGCUACAGCCUUCAAUAAAACUACAGUAGGGGAGUUCUUCGACAAUCUGGCUGUAGUGAUGGACAGGCACACAUUCCCUCCACACAUGAUUUACAAUGUAGAUUAAACCGGCGUCUUUACAGUUCAAAAGCCAUGACAGGUAAGCAACACAUGAUAUACAAGAGAGCACCAUACUGAUAUUGAGUGGAUUGUGAUAAUAACCAGUGAACCUGUGAGCUGGAAAAAUGAAUGGAAUGAAAUUAAAUACAAUGUACUUUUAGACCAAUAGUAACCUACUGAUUGUACAUUUGUCCCUGAUUCUAGACUUUCUAUCUUGAUUCAGGUUGUGACAGAGAAAGGAAAAAAGCAAGUUGGUUCUAUCACAUCAUCUGAGAGGGGAGAACUAGUGACUGUGGUGUGUGCAGUGAAUGCUGCUGGGAAUGCCAUACCUCCUAUGUUUGUCUUCCCCAGAGUUAGGGUUAAGGAUGACUUCCUGAUAGGAGCACUUCCAGGAGCCAAAGGUGCCUCCACCAGAACAGGAUGGAUGAAUGAAGACAAGUUCCGAUUAUGGGUCCAUGUUCUGAGACCCAGACUGUGCAUUAGCUGGUUCUGCUUGUACUUUGCUCUUGACACCCAGAUACUAGCUAAAGGUCCUGUGCUAUGAUUCUCACACUGUGAAUGUUAAUUAAAACAUUUUGAAGUAUA